rnacentral:rRNA from 1 species
UGCCUGUUCUGAACAGCCAGCCGGUUUCUCUUGAUGAUCUUCACCGGUUGUCUUGGGUGACCGGCAAGUUUACUUUGAAAAAAUUAGAGUGCUCAAAGCAGGCGUGACGCCUGAAUAAUGGUGCAUGGAAUAAUGGAAUAGGACCUCGGUUCUAUUUUGUUGGUUUUCGGAACACGAGGUAAUGAUUAAGAGGGACAGACGGGGGCAUUCGUAUUGCGACGCUAGAGGUGAAAUUCUUGGACCGUCGCAAGACGAACUACUGCGAAAGCAUUUGCCAAGAAUGUUUCCAUUAAUCAAGAACGAAAGUUAGAGGUUCGAAGGCGAUCAGAUACCGCCCUAGUUCUAACCAUAAACGAUGCCAGCCAGCGAUCCGGCUGUGUUCCUCAAAUGACACGCCGGGCAGCUUCCGGGAAACCAAAGCUUUUGGGUUCCGGGGGAAGUAUGGUUGCAAAGCUGAAACUUAAAGGAAUUGACGGAAGGGCACCACCAGGAAUGGAGCCUGCGGCUUAAUUUGACUCAACACGGGAAAACUUACCCGGCCCGGACACAGGAAGGAUUGACAGAUUAAGAGCUCUUUCUUGAUUCUGUGGGUGGUGGUGCAUGGCCGUUCUUAGUUGGUGGAGCGAUUUGUCUGGUUAAUUCCGAUAACGAACGAGACUCUAGCCUACUAAAUAGACGUUCCGAUCAUCUCCGUCGGACGUUCUUCUUAGAGGGACAAGCGGCGUUUAGCCGCACGAGACAGAGCAAUAACAGGUCUGUGAUGCCCUUAGAUGUCCGGGGCCGCACGCGCGCUACAUUGAAGGAAUCAGCGUGUCCCCCCUCUCCGACAGGAGUGGGUAACCCGUUGAACCUCCUUCGUGCUGGGGAUAGGAGCUUGUAAUUGUUCUCCUUGAACGAGGAAUUCCCAGUAAGCACGAGUCAUAAGCUCGUGUUGAUUACGUCCCUGCCCUUUGUACACACCGCCCGUCGCUACUACCGAUUGAAUGAUUUAGUGAGGUCUUCGGACUGGCUCCCGGAACGGCUCUAGGGUCCCGCCCGGUUUGCCCGAAAAAUGACCAAACUUGAUCUUUUAAAGGAAGUAAAA